UUGACACUGGACCAGCUGGGCGCGCCGGGACUGACUGCUGACGAGGCGCUGAGGGCUGUGCUGGAGGUGCGAGACGUCAUCCGGGCGGCCGACGGACGCUACCCCAACAUGGCGACUCUGCUGGUGAUGACGCGCACCUGGAACCAGGCGGUCCAGCUGCACGUGCAGGGCGAGCCCCAGCAGGCCAACAGGUGGGCGGCGGCCGCGCGCAGCAUGACCUCACUGCUGGCCACCCAGACCGAGUGGUACCGCCGGCACAUGCAGC